AUUGAACGCUGGCGGCAGGCCUAACACAUGCAAGUCGGACGGUAGCACAGAGAGCUUGCUCUCGGGUGACGAGUGGCGGACGGGUGAGUAAUGUCUGGGGAUCUGCCCGAUAGAGGGGGAUAACCACUGGAAACGGUGGCUAAUACCGCAUAACGUCGCAAGACCAAAGAGGGGGACAUUCGGGCCUCUCACUAUCGGAUGAACCCAGAUGGGAUUAGCUAGUAGGCGGGGUAAUGGCCCACCUAGGCGACGCUCCCUAGCUGGUCUGAGCGGAUGACCAGCCACACUGGAACUGAGACACGGUCCAGACUCCUACGGGAGGCAGCAGUGGGGAAUAUUGCACAAUGGGCGCAAGCCUGAUGCAGCCAUGCCGCGUGUAUGAAGAAGGCCUUCGGGUUGUAAAGUACUUUCAGCGGGGAGGAAGGCGGUGCGGUUAAUAACCGCGCCGAUUGACGUUACCCGCAGAAGAAGCACCGGCUAACUCCGUGCCAGCCGCCGCGGUAA
rnacentral:rRNA from 1 species